rnacentral:rRNA from 1 species
GACGAACGCUGGCGGCGUGCCUAAUACAUGCAAGUAGAACGCUGACGGAGGAGCUUGCUUCUCUGGAUGAGUUGCGAACGGGUGAGUAACGCGUAGGUAACCUGCCUGGUAGCUGGGGAUAACUAUUGGAAACGAUAGCUAAUACCGCAUAAGAGUAGAUGUUGCAUGACAUUUGCUUGAAAGGUGCAAUUUCCUCACUACCAGAUGGACCUGCGUUGUAUUAGCUAGUUGGUGGGGUAACGGCUUACCAAGGCGACGAUACAUAGCCGACCUGAGAGGGUGGUCGGCCACACUGGGAAUGAGAAACGGCCCAGGCUCCUACGGGAGGGAGCAGUAGGGGAACUUCGGCAAAGGGCGGAAGUCUGACCGAGCAACGCCGCGUGAGUGAAGGAGGUUUUCGGAUCGUAAAGCUCUGUUGUAAGGGAAGAACGAGUGGGAGAGUGGAAAGUUCACACUGUGACGGUAUCUUACCAGAAAGGGACGGCUAACUACGUG